CCCUUUUGAUCCUAGCUCCCUGUUCCAUGAAGAAUCCCCAAAUGGUGCACUUGUGUGCUUCCCAGACAGUUGGGGCAGGAACCUCUGGAGAUGCGUUCUCUGAGAAAUAGUUUGUCAGGGUAGUAUGCGCGUCCUGUGAAACCACCGGGCUGUCAGAGAGCAUCUUGUUCAGUCUCCGGUUAAUUGUCUUGGGUCUGGAGAGUGGGGGCGACAAGUUUACUGAUAGGCGGGCAUGGUUG